rnacentral:rRNA from 1 species
AGUUUGAUCAUGGCUCAGAUUGAACGCUGGCGGGAUGCUUUACACAUGCAAGUCAGGCAGCGGCACGGACUUCAGUCUGGUGGCGAGUGGCGAACGGGUGAGUAAUGUAUCGGAACGUGCCUAGUGGCAGGGGGAUAACUACGCGAAAGCGUAGCUAAUACCGCAUACGCCCUUCGGGGGAAAGCGGGGACCUUCGGGCCUCGCACUGUGGAAGCGGCCGAUAUCGGAUUAGCUAGUUGGUGGGGUAACGGCUCACCAAGGCGACGAUCCGUAGCUGGUUUGAGAGGACGACCAGCCACACUGGGACUGAGACCUGGCUGGCCCAAACUCACGGGAGGCAGCAGUGGGGAAUUUUGGACAAUGGGAAACCCUGAUCCAGCCAUCCCGCGUGUGCGAUGAAGGCCUUCGGGUUGUAAAGCACUUUUAGCGGGAAAGAAACGGCACGGGAUAAUACCCCGUGCAACUGACGGUACCUGCAGAAUAAGCACCGGCUAACUAAUGCCAGCAGCCGCGGUAAUACGUAAGGUACAAGCGUUAAUCCAGAAUUCACUGGGCGUAAAGCGUGCGCAGGCGGUUCGGAAAGAAAAGAUGUGAAAUCCCAGAGCUUAACUUUGGUUUGCAUUUUUAACUUCACCAGGCUAAAGUGUGUGUCAGAGGGAGGUGGAAUUCCCGCGUGUAGCAGUGAAAUGCGUAGAUAUGCGGAGGAACACCGAUGGCGAAGGCGACGCUCCUGGGAUAACACGGCGCUCAUGCACGAAAGCGUAGGGAGCAAACAGGGUUAGAUACCCUGGUAGUCCCGCCUAAACGAUGUCAACUAAGCUGUUGGGGCCUUCGGGCCUUGGUAGCGCAGCUAACGCGUGAAGUUGACCGCCUGGGGAGUACGGUCGCAAGAUUAAACUCAAAGGAAUUGACGGGGACCCGCACAAGCGGUGGAUGAUAUGGAUUAAUUCGAUGCAACGCGAAAAACCUUACCUACCCUUGACAUGUCUGGAAUCCCAAAGAGAUUUGGGAGUGCUCGCAAGAGAACCGGAACACAGGUGCUGCAUGGCUGUCGUCAGCUCGUGUCGUGAGAUGUUGGGUUAAGUCCCGCAACGAGAGCUGUUGUCAUUAGUUGCUACGAAAGAGGCACUCAUCAGGACUGCCGGUGACAAACCGGAGGAAGGUGGGGAUGACGUCAAGUCCUCAUGGCCCUUAUGGGUAGGGCUUCACACGUCAUACAAUGGUCGGGACAGGGGGUCGCCAACCCGCGAGAGGGAGCCAAUCCCAGAAACCCGAUCGUAGUCCGGAUCGCAGUCUGCGCUCGACUGCGUGAAGUCGGAAUCGCUAUGAUAGCGGAUCAGCAUGUCGCGGUGAAUACGUUCCCGGGUCUUGUACACACCGCCCGUCACACCAUGGGAGUGGGUUUUACCAGAAGUAGUUAGCCUAACCGUAAGGAAGGCUUGGUCCACCCACGCGAAAUUGUUGGGAUUCAUGACUGGGGUGAAGUCGUAACAAGGUAA